GGAAGAUCCUGGGAGGGAAUGGCUAGCUGCCUAACUUUAUCCCUUUGGUCAUUAGAACUCUAAUGGCUUCCUCAUGCCUGGAGAGGUGGUGUGAGUGUGUCCAUGGUGCUGGUUUUGGAGUGCAGGGGUCAGUCUGGAUCCUGUCCCAGAUCUUCAGCUUCCCACCUUUGUCACCUUUAGCAGGUACUUGGACUCUGUGAUUCCCCAGUUGCACCGCUUUUCAAAUGGAGAAAAUCCAACUACCUCAGAGGAUUGUUGCAAGGAGAAUCUGUGCAGUGCCCUGGGUCCAGUGCCUCCGUGCUUGAGUGAGAGUCAGAUCUCCAUAUACCAAUCAUGGAGCAGAGGUGCUAUGAGAGAUUCCUAACUCCUGAACAACUGUGACAAAGAUAGGUGUCUGACCACCAAAUGUUCCUGUUUUCCCCACAAGUGGCAGCUCCGCCAGGGAAUGCAUAUUUCAUCUAGCCACCCCGGAUGUGGAUGUGUGAGAAGCCAGCCCACUUCGUGGAUGAGCGUAGGUAUCUGCCUUCCAGAGACCGGGGCUGCAGGCCGAAACGCCCGAACUACUACCAGAAGACACACACCUGUUUGUGAAUGGCGGCUUCUGCAUCACUUAGCUUUGUUGGGGGUGAAGGGAGAUCCUAGUAUAAGAUGUGUUGAUUUUCUCAGAGUAUAGCUGACGACAAAGGCCUGUGAAUUCCCAAACACUUGCCCUUCGACGUGAGGAACCUUCUGCAGUAUCUCCAGUGAGACAUUGCCCAGGGGAGUCAUGCACAAGUGGGCAGUCUCUUAUUCUGACCAGAAAUGAGGUACGUAACCAUACAUUCAUAGAUAUUGCUCAGGAACCCAGGCAAAAAUUAUAAUCCCCCUUGUCAUGUUAGACACUGCAAAAGCUGGGUUAGAGUUCCGAAUCUGCCCUUUUGAAGCUGUAUAACCCCACUCAAAGUAUUUGAUUUUUGAACCUUGAUUUCCUUAUCUGCAGAAUGGAGAUAAUACCUACCUCACAGCGCUAUUGUGAGUGUUAAAUGAAAAAAUGUAUGGAAAUUU
rnacentral:lncRNA from 1 species